rnacentral:rRNA from 1 species
AGCAGUAGCCGCGGUAAUACAGAGGGUGCGAGCGUUAAUCGGAUUUACUGGGCGUAAAGCGUGCGUAGGCGGCUUCUUAAGUCGGAUGUGAAAUCCCUGAGCUUAACUUAGGAAUUGCAUUCGAUACUGGGAAGCUAGAGUAUGGGAGAGGAUGGUAGAAUUCCAGGUGUAGCGGUGAAAUGCGUAGAGAUCUGGAGGAAUACCGAUGGCGAAAGCACUCUGCUGGGCCGACACUGACACUGAGAGACGAAAGCUAGGGGAGCAAAUGGGAUUAGAUACCCGAGUAGUCCCUGUCUCUUAUAC